UACGGGGGGGGUAAGCGUUGUUCGGAAUUACUGGGCGUAAAGCGUGCGCAGGCGGUGAUGUAAGACAGAUGUGAAAUCCCCGGGCUCAACCCGGGAACUGCGUCCGAUACUGGAAGGCUUGAAUCCGGGAGAGGGAUGUGGAAUUCCAGGUGUAGCGGUGAAAUGCGUAGAUAUCUGGAGGAACACCGGUGGCGAAGGCGACAUCCUGGACCGGUAUUGACGCUGAGGCGCGAAAGCCAGGGGAGCAAACGGG
rnacentral:rRNA from 1 species